UUUAAUUCGAAGCAACGCGAAGAACCUUACCAGUUCUUGACAUCUUUUGAUCACCUGAGAGAUCAGGUUUCCCCUUCGGGGGCAAAAUGACAGGUGGUGCAUGGUUGUCGUCAGCUCGUGUCGUGAGAUGUUGGGUUAAGUCCCGCAACGAGCGCAACCCUUAUGACUAGUUGCCAGCAUUUAGUUGGGCACUCUAGUAAGACUGCCGGUGACAAACCGGAGGAAGGUGGGGAUGACGUCAAAUCAUCAUGCCCCUUAUGACCUGGGCUACACACGUGCUACAAUGGAUGGUACAACGAGUUGCGAGACCGCGAGGUCAAGCUAAUCUCUUAAAGCCAUUCUCAGUUCGGACUGUAGGCUGCAACUCGCCUACACGAAGUCGGAAUCGCUAGUAAUCGCGGAUCAGCACGCCGCGGUGAAUACGUUCCCGGGCCUUGUACACACCGCCCGUCACACCAUGAGAGUUUGUAACACCCGAAGCCGGUGGCGUAACCCUUUUAGGGAGCGAGCCGUCUAAGGUGGGACAAAUGAUUAGGGUGAAGUCUCACAAGUAGCCUAGGA
rnacentral:rRNA from 1 species